rnacentral:lncRNA from 1 species
CCGGCUACGUGCCCAGCGCUCGCGUCUGCUCCAGUCGCUCUGGCGGUGCGGGGCGCUGGCGACGGGACAGGGUUUUUGCUGCCCGGGGCCUAGUCUACCUCGGCACGCUUUUCUCUGAAGGAGACACGCACUUGCACGACGUGGGCCUCUGUGCAGCUCUACUUUGUCCUUAACUCCUCUGACUCAACGUUAUCGCAGUUUGACUCUGGAGCCACUCAGGUUUUUCCUAAGCUCAACUCUAGCCAGCUAGGUUCCUGGUGCUUUGGGGUAUCAAGUAUCAAGACUCCAGCAAAAGUGGCAGACAGCAUGGGAAUGCUAAAGAGCAUACAAUAUCAAUACAGGAUAGUACUCCAGAAAAUACGUUACCCUGCAUGUGGCGUUCCCUCAAUAGAUGUCUCCCCUCCCCCCAAUUUUUUUUAGCUCUGUGCUUUAGUGGAUACAAAAAUUACUUGCUUUCCCAAAGCCUCCUUUUGAAGAUAGAGCUAGCAUUAGGUUGAUUGCUAAAUUUUCAGGGAUUUUAUGAGCCAGGUCAUAAGCACAACCAUUAUUAGAAAUCAAAUUAUAUAAGCUACAAUUAAAUUAUCUUAAAAAUAAAAGUAAUAGGCCAGGCAUGUUGAGUCACAUUUGUAAUCCCAGUGCUUUGGGAGGCUAAGGCGGGAAGAUGGCUUGAGGCUAGAAGUUUGAUGUUGCAGUGAGCUAUGAUCACACCACUGCACUCCAGCCUGGGCAACAGAGUGAGACCCUAUUU